ensembl:lncRNA
UGGAAGGGCUCUCUUGUGGGUGUGACAGAGGCAGAACAUAGAAAUGAGAGAUUUCUAGAAGGGAGGGUGAGCAAGCAGGAAGGCAAGAGAAAUGUCCACUUCCUUCGACCUCAUUCAAAGUGGCCCUGGCACCGACAACUUGGGGCUUUAGAUCCCUGCGAAUUGGGCCCUGAGGGCUGAGACUAAGAGGAGUUAGUGACUGGCCCACGUCUGGGGAACUCGGACAGGGGAAUCCGGGUGCCCACAGAGGAAAAGACCUUCUUCCUUCCAUUGAGGAGACUUCCACCAGUCAGCUGGUCAAGCAGUGUGUGGGGCUUGUGAUUUUCUGCUCCUCGUGCUCUUUCCUCAGCAGUUAAACCUGGCCACCACAGCCUCAUUCCUUCGAGGCCACUGCAGCAGCCUCCACACUAGCCCCUGUUCUGGCCAGUCCCCCAACCACACUGCUGUGAACAGUAUUCUCCAAAAGGGAAUGUGAUGGUGUCACUCUUGAAGCCUCCUGGUGACCUGCAGGUCUGCGUGGAAGCUCAGCCCUGCCUUGGCUUGGAGCCUCUGAGUGCUGGUCCUGCCCAGCCCCCUGCCCAGCCUCCUGCCCAGGCCCCUGCCCUGGUCUUUCCUAUUCACCCCCCACUACAUGCCCAUAACGCACGACUGAUGGUGCUCUCAGUCGUGUCCGACUCUGCGACCCCAUGGACGGUAGCCUGCCAGGCUCCUCUGCCCGUGGCAUUUUCCAGUGUUGUGUUGGUUUCUGCUGUACAAUGUGAACCAACCGAAUUGACAAAGAAUGCAUUUCUUUUGAGAAGAGUCUCUGAGAUGCUGGAAAACAGGACAUUGGGCAGAAAUGCUGGAGGCUGAGCUCCUUUAUGGCCAUCUCCGGAACCUCAUCACUCUACCAACCUCUCUACUGUAGAGCUGGAGUUCAGAGAGAGACAGGUAUUAUGGGAUGCACAUUAACAUGUUCAUUGGAGAACUUCCCUGGUGAUGCUGAGGAUAAGAAUCUGCCUGCCAAUGCAGGGGACACAGGUUCGAUCCCUGAUCUGGGAGGAUUCCACAUGCCACAGAGCAACUAAGCCAGGGACCAUGACGACUGAGCCCAUGCUAUACAGCCUGAGAGCCACAACUACUAAAACCUGUGCAUCUAGAGCCUGUGCUCCACAAGAGAAGCCAUCACAAUGAGAAGCUUGAGCACGGUAAUGAAGUGUAGCCUCUGCUCACCGCAACUAGAGAAA